GGGGCUGAAGCAGCAAGCGCUGCUCCCACCGAUAAACGGCUCUGCCAAGCAGGAACUCUGCUUGUUGCCCCAGCAGGAGGGGACUGGCUGCUCUGCUCCGGCCAGCUCGGCUGAGAUGCCAGCGGGGACACAGAGCCCAGCACACAGCAAAGGCUCCAGGCAGUUGGCCCCGGCACCACUCAGGCUUCUCCCUGAGCUGCCGAGAAGAGCUUGGCAGGGAAUGAAGCAGGGGUCUGGAUGCUCCUGUACUGCAAAUAACCACCGAGCCAGCUCCUCUGGGCAGGCCCAGGAAGGGUGCAGGCAGCUCCACCAACCCUCUGGAAGGCAGGCAGCCUCCCCAGGAGGAGACCCUCUAGUGUGCCCUUUGGAACCCAGCGAGAGUUGAAUCACAGGUGAAAGAUAUCAAGGGACUUCAGUUUCAAAGGACUUGGCCCUUGAUUUACCAAACUCCUUCUCACACCUCUCUGCAGGGCAGAAAGGAAAAGGAAAAGGCUCCCGAGGUUCCCCAAGCCCGGGGCACAGCAGUGUGAGCACACAUGGCCUGGGGAGGGCCACCCCGCGCUGGUUUAAAACAAGGCAGUGCCUUCAAAGCCAGCCACUCAGCCAAAUGUGACAAUCAGCAUGAAAUUAGGGAAUAGAGGCCCACCCAGCAGCUGCAUUCCAUGCUGGGUUUAUCCAAACCAUCCUCUAGGAAAAGCUAAAGAUAGCCCUGUGCAGGCCAGGGGCACAAGUUGGGUUUUGACCUCACAUCCGCUGGCUGCUGCU